rnacentral:rRNA from 1 species
UAGGGAAUAUUGGUCAAUGGGCGAGAGCCUGAACCAGCCAUGCCGCGUGCAGGAUGACGGCCUUCUGGGUUGUAAACUGCUUUUAUACAGGAAGAAAAAAUCCUUGCGAGGAAAAUUGCCGGUACUGUAUGAAUAAGCACCGGCUAACUCCGUGCCAGCAGCCGCGGUAAUACGGAGGGUGCAAGCGUUGUCCGGAUUUAUUGGGUUUAAAGGGUACGUAGGCGUCCCAACAAGUUUUUGGUGAAAUCUUCCGGCUUAACCGGAAAACUGCCAGAAAAACUGUCGGGAUUGAAUUCAGUUGAGGUAAGCGGAAUUUAUGAUGUAGCGGUGAAAUGCAUAGAUAUCAUAAAGAACACCUAUUGCGAAGGCAGCUUGCUGGACUUGAAUUGACGCUGAGGUACGAAAGCGUGGGGAGCGAACAGGAUUAGAUACCCCCGUAGUCC